GUGGACAUAGCUCAGUGGUAGAGGUGUGUACUGCUAGUUUUGUUCUCCGGGUACAAAUUCUGAUAGAUUGAUAGCAUACGAUUGCAAAUCGUGAGGUCUGUGGUUCGACCCCGCAUGUUCACU